UAUCCACGGCCUAGGACUCUG
rnacentral:rRNA from 1 species